rnacentral:rRNA from 1 species
ACGUACACUCCUGCGGGAGGCAGCAGUGAGGAAUAUUGGACAAUGGGUGGAAGCCUGAUCCAGCCAUCCCGCGUGCAGGAAGACGGCCCUAUGGGUUGUAAACUGCUUUUAUCUGGGGAUAAACCUACUUACGUGUAAGUAGCUGAAGGUACCAGAAGAAUAAGCACCGGCUAACUCCGUGCCAGCAGCCGCGGUAAUACGGAGGGUGCAAGCGUUAUCCGGAUUUAUUGGGUUUAAAGGGUCCGUAGGCGGACUGAUAAGUCAGUGGUGAAAUCCGACAGCUUAACUGUCGAACUGCCAUUGAUACUGUUAGUCUUGAGUAAGGUUGAAGUGGCUGGAAUAAGUAGUGUAGCGGUGAAAUGCAUAGAUAUUACUUAGAACACCAAUUGCGAAGGCAGGUCACUAAGUCUUAACUGACGCUGAUGGACGAAAGCGUGGGGAGCGAACAGGAUUAGAAACCCCGGUAGUCC